rnacentral:rRNA from 1 species
AUGCGGGUGCUCCCGCUGGCCCUCGCCGCCGCCAUCUUCUCCGGCGUCACGGCCAUCCUCAUCUACCUCACCGGGCUCUCCUCAUAUGGCGGCGCGGGGCUCUCGGAGGCGGACCUGGCGGCGCUCGCCGCGCUGCAGGGAGGGUUCAGCAAGUGCGUGGAUGCUAAUGGUCUAGGACUGCAAGCGUUUGGCGGAGAAGAUUACUGUCGUGUUGUUAUACAGUACCCGAGUGACACGGUUUCUAAAUGGACAGAUCCAAAAACUGGAGAGUCUGAAGGGUUGGCAUUUGAGUUCAAUCUCUGCGAAGCUGUGGCCUCAUGGGAGCAGGUUCGCAACAGUACCACAAUACUCACAAAAGAGUACAUUGAUGCAUUACCAAAUGGCUGGGAGGAGUAUGCAUGGCGCAGGAUCAACAAAGGAAUCCUUCUGAAUAAGUGCAAGAACAGGACUCUUUGCAUGGAGAAGCUUUCAUUGGUUCUCCCUGACACAUCACCAUAUGUACCUCAGCAAUUUGGUAGCUGUGCCGUUGUGGGUAACUCUGGGGAUCUUCUUAAAACUAAAUCUGGGGAUGAGAUUGAUUCUUAUGAUGUUGUCAUUAGAGAAAAUGGUGCACCUGUCCAGAACUACACGGAAUAUGUUGGUGAAAAGAGUACAUUUCGCCUUCUUAACAGAGGAUCUGCAAAGGCACUGGAUAAAGUUGUUGAGUUAGAUGAAACAAAAAAGGAGGCAUUGAUAGUUAAGACAACAAUACAUGAUGUCAUGAACAAGAUGAUUCGGGAACUUCCAAUAACCAAUCCAGUAUACCUCAUGCUAGGAACAUCAUUUGGUUCCUCUGCUAAAGGAACUGGGCUUAAAGCUCUUGAAUUUGCUCUCUCCAUCUGUGACAGCGUUGACAUGUAUGGCUUUACAGUAGACCCGGGCUACAAGGAAUGGACGAGAUACUUUUCAGAGUCCAGAAAGGGACACACUCCACUACAUGGCAGAGCAUAUUAUCAAAUGAUGGAAUGUCUUGGUCUUGUAAAAAUCCAUUCGCCAAUGCGGGGUGAUCCUGGUAGGGUAGUGAAGUGGCUGCCUACCAAGGACAUCAUUGAAGCUGCUAGAGUUGCUUCAGAGAAGUUGUUGAAGAGACCUGGGGCUGGAAGCGUUGACCCUCUGAGGACUUGCACCAUGAUAAAGAAGCGCAAGAACGGAAAGGCGCCAAACAGAUCCGGCCUCCGAGAUGCUGCCACGAAUCACCUUCGGUACAUGAAGGGCGCCACCAGGUAUCCCCUGGAACGGAGCGCUGGGGGUGGUUACCUCUGCAUGAUCAAUGAUAGAUAG